AUGAAGAGGAGACUAUACGAAACGUAGUUUCGUAUUUGGAAUGUCUCCGAUGACCUGUCGCGGAGCGCAUGCGAGAGGGCAUUACAUGUU
rnacentral:sRNA from 1 species